rnacentral:rRNA from 1 species
GGGUUGUGAGGUUAAGCGACUAAGCGUACACGGUGGAUGCCCUGGCAGUCAGAGGCGAUGAAGGACGUGCUAAUCUGCGAUAAGCGUCGGUAAGGUGAUAUGAACCGUUAUAACCGGCGAUUUCCGAAUGGGGAAACCCAGUGUGUUUCGACACACUAUCAUUAACUGAAUCCAUAGGUUAAUGAGGCGAACCGGGGGAACUGAAACAUCUAAGUACCCCGAGGAAAAGAAAUCAACCGAGAUUCCCCCAGUAGCGGCGAGCGAACGGGGAGCAGCCCAGAGCCUGAAUCAGUGUGUGUGUUAGUGGAAGCGUCUGGAAAGGCGCGCGAUACAGGGUGACAGCCCCGUACACAAAAAUGCACAUGCUGUGAGCUCGAUGAGUAGGGCGGGACACGUGGUAUCCUGUCUGAAUAUGGGGGGACCAUCCUCCAAGGCUAAAUACUCCUGACUGACCGAUAGUGAACCAGUACCGUGAGGGAAAGGCGAAAAGAACCCCGGCGAGGGGAGUGAAAAAGAACCUGAAACCGUGUACGUACAAGCAGUGGGAGCACGCUUAGGCGUGUGACUGCGUACCUUUUGUAUAAUGGGUCAGCGACUUAUAUUCUGUAGCAAGGUUAACCGAAUAGGGGAGCCGAAGGGAAACCGAGUCUUAACUGGGCGUUAAGUUGCAGGGUAUAGACCCGAAACCCGGUGAUCUAGCCAUGGGCAGGUUGAAGGUUGGGUAACACUAACUGGAGGACCGAACCGACUAAUGUUGAAAAAUUAGCGGAUGACUUGUGGCUGGGGGUGAAAGGCCAAUCAAACCGGGAGAUAGCUGGUUCUCCCCGAAAGCUAUUUAGGUAGCGCCUCGUGAAUUCAUCUCCGGGGGUAGAGCACUGUUUCGGCAAGGGGGUCAUCCCGACUUACCAACCCGAUGCAAACUGCGAAUACCGGAGAAUGUUAUCACGGGAGACACACGGCGGGUGCUAACGUCCGUCGUGAAGAGGGAAACAACCCAGACCGCCAGCUAAGGUCCCAAAGUCAUGGUUAAGUGGGAAACGAUGUGGGAAGGCCCAGACAGCCAGGAUGUUGGCUUAGAAGCAGCCAUCAUUUAAAGAAAGCGUAAUAGCUCACUGGUCGAGUCGGCCUGCGCGGAAGAUGUAACGGGGCUAAACCAUGCACCGAAGCUGCGGCAGCGACACUAUGUGUUGUUGGGUAGGGGAGCGUUCUGUAAGCCUGUGAAGGUGUGCUGUGAGGCAUGCUGGAGGUAUCAGAAGUGCGAAUGCUGACAUAAGUAACGAUAAAGCGGGUGAAAAGCCCGCUCGCCGGAAGACCAAGGGUUCCUGUCCAACGUUAAUCGGGGCAGGGUGAGUCGACCCCUAAGGCGAGGCCGAAAGGCGUAGUCGAUGGGAAACAGGUUAAUAUUCCUGUACUUGGUGUUACUGCGAAGGGGGGACGGAGAAGGCUAUGUUGGCCGGGCGACGGUUGUCCCGGUUUAAGCGUGUAGGCUGGUUUUCCAGGCAAAUCCGGAAAAUCAAGGCUGAGGCGUGAUGACGAGGCACUACGGUGCUGAAGCAACAAAUGCCCUGCUUCCAGGAAAAGCCUCUAAGCAUCAGGUAACAUCAAAUCGUACCCCAAACCGACACAGGUGGUCAGGUAGAGAAUACCAAGGCGCUUGAGAGAACUCGGGUGAAGGAACUAGGCAAAAUGGUGCCGUAACUUCGGGAGAAGGCACGCUGAUAUGUAGGUGAAGUCCCUCGCGGAUGGAGCUGAAAUCAGUCGAAGAUACCAGCUGGCUGCAACUGUUUAUUAAAAACACAGCACUGUGCAAACACGAAAGUGGACGUAUACGGUGUGACGCCUGCCCGGUGCCGGAAGGUUAAUUGAUGGGGUUAGCCGCAAGGCGAAGCUCUUGAUCGAAGCCCCGGUAAACGGCGGCCGUAACUAUAACGGUCCUAAGGUAGCGAAAUUCCUUGUCGGGUAAGUUCCGACCUGCACGAAUGGCGUAAUGAUGGCCAGGCUGUCUCCACCCGAGACUCAGUGAAAUUGAACUCGCUGUGAAGAUGCAGUGUACCCGCGGCAAGACGGAAAGACCCCGUGAACCUUUACUAUAGCUUGACACUGAACAUUGAGCCUUGAUGUGUAGGAUAGGUGGGAGGCUUUGAAGUGUGGACGCCAGUCUGCAUGGAGCCGACCUUGAAAUACCACCCUUUAAUGUUUGAUGUUCUAACGUUGACCCGUAAUCCGGGUUGCGGACAGUGUCUGGUGGGUAGUUUGACUGGGGCGGUCUCCUCCUAAAGAGUAACGGAGGAGCACGAAGGUUGGCUAAUCCUGGUCGGACAUCAGGAGGUUAGUGCAAUGGCAUAAGCCAGCUUGACUGCGAGCGUGACGGCGCGAGCAGGUGCGAAAGCAGGUCAUAGUGAUCCGGUGGUUCUGAAUGGAAGGGCCAUCGCUCAACGGAUAAAAGGUACUCCGGGGAUAACAGGCUGAUACCGCCCAAGAGUUCAUAUCGACGGCGGUGUUUGGCACCUCGAUGUCGGCUCAUCACAUCCUGGGGCUGAAGUAGGUCCCAAGGGUAUGGCUGUUCGCCAUUUAAAGUGGUACGCGAGCUGGGUUUAGAACGUCGUGAGACAGUUCGGUCCCUAUCUGCCGUGGGCGCUGGAGAACUGAGGGGGGCUGCUCCUAGUACGAGAGGACCGGAGUGGACGCAUCACUGGUGUUCGGGUUGUCAUGCCAAUGGCACUGCCCGGUAGCUAAAUGCGGAAGAGAUAAGUGCUGAAAGCAUCUAAGCACGAAACUUGCCCCGAGAUGAGUUCUCCCUGACCCUUUAAGGGUCCUGAAGGAACGUUGAAGACGACGACGUUGAUAGGCCGGGUGUGUAAGCGCAGCGAUGCGUUGAGCUAACCGGUACUAAUGAACCGUGAGGCUUAACCUUACAACGCCGAAGCUGUU